GGUUAAGCGACUAAGCGUACACGGUGGAUGCCCUGGCAGUCAGAGGCGAUGAAGGACGUGCUAAUCUGCGAUAAGCGUCGGUAAGGUGAUAUGAACCGUUAUAACCGGCGAUUUCCGAAUGGGGAAACCCAGUGUGAUUCGACACACUAUCAUUAACUGAAUCCAUAGGUUAAUGAGGCGAACCGGGGGAACUGAAACAUCUAAGUACCCCGAGGAAAAGAAAUCAACCGAGAUUCCCCCAGUAGCGGCGAGCGAACGGGGAGCAGCCCAGAGCCUGAAUCAGUGUGUGUGUUAGUGGAAGCGUCUGGAAAGGCGCGCGAUACAGGGUGACAGCCCCGUACACAAAAAUGCACAUACUGUGAGCUCGAUGAGUAGGGCGGGACACGUGGUAUCCUGUCUGAAUAUGGGGGGACCAUCCUCCAAGGCUAAAUACUCCUGACUGACCGAUAGUGAACCAGUACCGUGAGGGAAAGGCGAAAAGAACCCCGGCGAGGGGAGUGAAAAAGAACCUGAAACCGUGUACGUACAAGCAGUGGGAGCCUCUUUAUGGGGUGACUGCGUACCUUUUGUAUAAUGGGUCAGCGACUUAUAUUCUGUAGCAAGGUUAACCGAAUAGGGGAGCCGAAGGGAAACCGAGUCUUAACUGGGCGUUAAGUUGCAGGGUAUAGACCCGAAACCCGGUGAUCUAGCCAUGGGCAGGUUGAAGGUUGGGUAACACUAACUGGAGGACCGAACCGACUAAUGUUGAAAAAUUAGCGGAUGACUUGUGGCUGGGGGUGAAAGGCCAAUCAAACCGGGAGAUAGCUGGUUCUCCCCGAAAGCUAUUUAGGUAGCGCCUCGUGAAUUCAUCUCCGGGGGUAGAGCACUGUUUCGGCAAGGGGGUCAUCCCGACUUACCAACCCGAUGCAAACUGCGAAUACCGGAGAAUGUUAUCACGGGAGACACACGGCGGGUGCUAACGUCCGUCGUGAAGAGGGAAACAACCCAGACCGCCAGCUAAGGUCCCAAAGUCAUGGUUAAGUGGGAAACGAUGUGGGAAGGCCCAGACAGCCAGGAUGUUGGCUUAGAAGCAGCCAUCAUUUAAAGAAAGCGUAAUAGCUCACUGGUCGAGUCGGCCUGCGCGGAAGAUGUAACGGGGCUAAACCAUGCACCGAAGCUGCGGCAGCGACACUAUGUGUUGUUGGGUAGGGGAGCGUUCUGUAAGCCUGUGAAGGUGUGCUGUGAGGUAUGCUGGAGGUAUCAGAAGUGCGAAUGCUGACAUAAGUAACGAUAAAGCGGGUGAAAAGCCCGCUCGCCGGAAGACCAAGGGUUCCUGUCCAACGUUAAUCGGGGCAGGGUGAGUCGACCCCUAAGGCGAGGCCGAAAGGCGUAGUCGAUGGGAAACAGGUUAAUAUUCCUGUACUUGGUGUUACUGCGAAGGGGGGACGGAGAAGGCUAUGUUGGCCGGGCGACGGUUGUCCCGGUUUAAGCGUGUAGGCUGGUUUUCCAGGCAAAUCCGGAAAAUCAAGGCUGAGGCGUGAUGACGAGGCACUACGGUGCUGAAGCAACAAAUGCCCUGCUUCCAGGAAAAGCCUCUAAGCAUCAGGUAACAUCAAAUCGUACCCCAAACCGACACAGGUGGUCAGGUAGAGAAUACCAAGGCGCUUGAGAGAACUCGGGUGAAGGAACUAGGCAAAAUGGUGCCGUAACUUCGGGAGAAGGCACGCUGAUAUGUAGGUGAAGUCCCUUGCGGAUGGAGCUGAAAUCAGUCGAAGAUACCAGCUGGCUGCAACUGUUUAUUAAAAACACAGCACUGUGCAAACACGAAAGUGGACGUAUACGGUGUGACGCCUGCCCGGUGCCGGAAGGUUAAUUGAUGGGGUUAGCGGUAACGCGAAGCUCUUGAUCGAAGCCCCGGUAAACGGCGGCCGUAACUAUAACGGUCCUAAGGUAGCGAAAUUCCUUGUCGGGUAAGUUCCGACCUGCACGAAUGGCGUAAUGAUGGCCAGGCUGUCUCCACCCGAGACUCAGUGAAAUUGAACUCGCUGUGAAGAUGCAGUGUACCCGCGGCAAGACGGAAAGACCCCGUGAACCUUUACUAUAGCUUGACACUGAACAUUGAGCCUUGAUGUGUAGGAUAGGUGGGAGGCUUUGAAGUGUGGACGCCAGUCUGCAUGGAGCCGACCUUGAAAUACCACCCUUUAAUGUUUGAUGUUCUAACGUUGGCCCCUGAUCGGGGUUGCGGACAGUGUCUGGUGGGUAGUUUGACUGGGGCGGUCUCCUCCUAAAGAGUAACGGAGGAGCACGAAGGUUGGCUAAUCCUGGUCGGACAUCAGGAGGUUAGUGCAAUGGCAUAAGCCAGCUUGACUGCGAGCGUGACGGCGCGAGCAGGUGCGAAAGCAGGUCAUAGUGAUCCGGUGGUUCUGAAUGGAAGGGCCAUCGCUCAACGGAUAAAAGGUACUCCGGGGAUAACAGGCUGAUACCGCCCAAGAGUUCAUAUCGACGGCGGUGUUUGGCACCUCGAUGUCGGCUCAUCACAUCCUGGGGCUGAAGUAGGUCCCAAGGGUAUGGCUGUUCGCCAUUUAAAGUGGUACGCGAGCUGGGUUUAGAACGUCGUGAGACAGUUCGGUCCCUAUCUGCCGUGGGCGCUGGAGAACUGAGGGGGGCUGCUCCUAGUACGAGAGGACCGGAGUGGACGCAUCACUGGUGUUCGGGUUGUCAUGCCAAUGGCACUGCCCGGUAGCUAAAUGCGGAAGAGAUAAGUGCUGAAAGCAUCUAAGCACGAAACUUGCCCCGAGAUGAGUUCUCCCUGACUCCUUGAGAGUCCUGAAGGAACGUUGAAGACGACGACGUUGAUAGGCCGGGUGUGUAAGCGCAGCGAUGCGUUGAGCUAACCGGUACUAAUGAACCGUGAGGCUUAACCUU
rnacentral:rRNA from 1 species